UUAGUAACGGCGAGCGAACCGGGCAGAGCCCAACUUGAAAAUCUCCAGCCUCCGGCUGGCGAAUUGUAGUCUAGAGAAGUGCUCUCUGCCUCAGUCCGGCCCCAAGUCCCCUGGAAAGGGGCGUCAGAGAGGGUGAGAACCCCGUUGGGACCGGUGCCUGUGGCUCCACGAGACGCUUUCGAAGAGUCGGGUUGUUUGGGAAUGCAGCCCAAAGCAGGUGGUAAAUCCCAUCUAAGGCUAAAUACAGACGGGAGACCGAUAGCGAACAAGUACCGCGAGGGAAAGAUGAAAAGAACUUUGAAAAGAGAGUUAAAAAGUGCUUGAAAUUGUUGAGAGGGAAGCGAUUGGAUCCUACGGGUGCGCCCAGGCACACGCCUGCCUAACGGUUGGCUGAAUGCGCUGGGUGCUGGUCAGCAUGGGUUGGCCCGGGCGGGACAAACCCCGGGGGUUGUUACCCCCGGCUAUGUCGCCUGGCCGACCGAGGAAAGAAGGGCGCUCUCUGAGUCCUCCGGGAACUGCGUCCUCAAGAUGCUGGCGGAAAGGUUCCAAUCGGCCCGUCUUGAAACACGGACCAAGGAGUCUAACAUGCAUGCGAGCUGGUGGGUGGCAAACCCAUGAAGCGCAAGUAACCUGACUGGUGGGAUGGCCUGUGCCUGCACCAUCGACCGACCAUGAUCUUCUGUGAAAGGUUCGAGUACGAGCAUGCCUGUUGGGACCCGAAAGAUGGUGAACUAUGCCUGAGCAGGGCGAAGCCAGAGGAAACUCUGGUGGAGGCUCGUAGAUGUGCUGACGUGCAAAUCGCUUUUCGGACUUGGGUAUAGGGGCGAAAGACUAAUCGAACCAUCUAGUAGCUGGUUCCCUCCGAAGUUUCCCCCAGGAUAGCUGGAGCUCAUUUCAGUCGACUCGGGUAAAGCGAAUGAUUAGGCGCUCAGGGGAUGAAACAUCCUCGACGCAUUCUCAAACUUUAAAUAGGGUCGUUGUCUGGGUUGCUUAAUUGAACCCAGGCCCUUAGAUGAGAGCUCCAAGUGGGCCAUUUUUGGUAAGCAGAACUGGCGAUGCGGGAUGAACCGAUAGCCGAGUUAAGGCGCCAAACUGCGCGCUAACCUAGAUCCCACAAAGGGUGUUGAUUGAUAUAGACAGCAGGACGGUGGUCAUGGAAGUCGAAAUCC
rnacentral:rRNA from 1 species